rnacentral:lncRNA from 1 species
CCCCAGAGCCCUUCCCCAAGAGCCAGCAGCAGCGAGCCAUGGCCACCUCGACCGCCGCCGUGCUGUCCCCGCCGUCCGUCGCCGGGCUCCGCCUGGCGCCGUCGCCCAGGGCGCGCGUGUCGUUCCGGGCCACGCCGGCGCGGCGGUCCGUGGCGGCGCGGGCGGAGCUGAGCCCGUCGCUGGUGAUCAGCCUCAGCACCGGCGUGUCGCUCUUCCUGGGCCGCUUCGUCUUCUUCAACUUCCAGCGGGAGAACGUGGCGAAGCAGGUCCCCGAGCAGAACGGCAAGACGCACUUCGACGCCGGCGACGAGCGGGCCAAGGAGUACGCCGGCCUGCUCAAGUCCAACGACCCCGUGGGGUUCAACCUCGUCGACGUCCUCGCCUGGGGCUCGCUCGGCCACAUCGUCGCCUACUACAUCCUCGCCACCUCCAGCAACGGAUACGACCCCAACUUCUUCUGAGCGACGGGCGCGUUCGUUCUUGCUGUAAUCUGCUCGGCGUGUUGGUGUUACUGCGUUGUAUCUGAUGCCGGAAAGAUUGGUUAAUUUGGACAAGUAGUGCUACUGCGUGUGUAUAUUGCCGCAUGAAUUUGGUCUUCAUCUAUGUCUAUCUCUGUGUAUUAAGCUACUUUUCGCUUUCGGUUAUGAGUACAUUCUGAUUAUGGCAGCCAGGCAUGACUUGCGAGCAACACGAGCCAUGGGGAAGAGCAAAAGUAGCAUUUCCAUAGUCCAGAAAAACCAAAAGAAUCCAGAUAAAACCAAAAGAGAUUUGCAAUUAAGUACUAGUAGCAAGAUGGGAGUAUAUGUAUAUGUAUAUGUUAAUGACUAGUACAUACAAUAUAACAAUAGUGGAAAGUGGUUAAGGGGGUCUGUGCCCAAUAAAUUACGGAUUUACAGUAGAUAAUUCUUCAGGACUGUCUAUGUUAUGUUUCUCUUUCAGGAUUGCCACAGGAGGUGUAUUUGUUUUCAGUACGGCAUGUACCCCAUGUGUUUUUAACUUGAGUCAUUCGCAGCAUGUGGUGUAUCGCAUAGCACAGUUAUAUUGUGCAACUACAUGAGUUGAAAAAAAAAACACAUAAAACAGAAACAGUAUGGUACAUGUUCAGCAUGAACAUCAUGCCAGCCAUGGCAAAGCUUCACACGUAGCAUUUCCAGAACCCAAAAGUACAGUAAAUUCAUAAAGUGAUUACUAGCAAAAUCGAGUUGAUGUUACAAAAACGAAAAAUUGUAAGGCGAUUGAUGCCUAAUAAAUUACAGUAAACAAUAUUUUAACAAUGUCUACACAAAGACUGACUGGCCGAAUUUUCUAACCUCAAGUAGGUACAAUCUCCGGAGAAGAGGGCAGAAAGCGAACGAGGAGGGUCCCCAUGGCGAUGCACAGCAGCACGAACUGGAUGGAGCAGAACAAGGAGGCUCUGCUUGCUCUGGCCUGCAGCUUCAAGACUUCUGAAGUCUCAGAGAGCUCCUUGCACUGUGACUCUAGUUUAUCCACCAUCUCCUCGAGCAUCAUCGCCCUGUUCUCUGUGUGCCGCAGCUUAGUUUCUAAGGAUUCGUAAUCCCCCGUCAGGGAUUUCUGAGCCUCGUAAAGAGCAAAUUGAUCCUUGGUCAGGGGCAUCCAAUCCUGUGAAGCUCUUGUAAGGAUAAAGCAUUGAAUCUCUGUCUCCAUCUUCUCCAAGAACAGUUGGUCUACAUCAGACUGCAGAGACAACAGAUCGUUGUUACAUGGCGCAGUAUCCUGUGGUUGUUUCUGGCUAAGUGCACCCAGUUCAAGUAUUUUUGAAUCCUGCUCGUUGAUGAGCAUGGUUGCUUCUUCCAGUUUGGACUCAAGUACCUUUAUCAUCUCACUUAGUUCUUCUACAGAUUCGUCAGGAUGGGGUGAGCUGCUCCAUUCUGUUUCACUGUGGUGAGUUGUGGAAUUUUCAUCAGAUUCUUUCCUGAUCUCCACAAACUUUUGGAUCUCUGCAAUAUAGCAGCAAUUUGUUAUUGGAAAAACACUCAGCUGGGGCAAAGAAGAUUUUCUUAGGAGAAAAAAAACAAGCUUUUGUACGAGAAUAAAAGGAAGAUUUAAGCAGGUCAUCAAAAAUAUACUUAUGGAUUAUACCGUGGCGUGAUUACUGCUAUGGUUAGCUAGCAGCUUUUUUUUAAAAAAAAUAAAAGGUUAGCUAGCAUACACAAAUUAGAUUUCUCAGAACGCACAAUAAGCAUGAGUUCUUGCUCUGUUUAUGAGACCUGCCCAUGUGUGCACAGGUGAUUAGUUAUAAAGGCUUCUACAAUAGCUAAACAGAAAAAUUGCUAGCUGAAGAUAAUAAAUACUCCACUUCUCAAAAGUAGGAGAUGAAGCAAGUCAGUUAUUCAGCUUCCGCUGAAAAUUCUAAAGCGAACAGUAUGUCACAGCACAAGUAAAUUAAAGAGAGGUGUCUCACAAAUCGAGCAGGUCAACAAUUGUGGCAGUUAAUUAUAACAUAGCCAUUGAAUGAAGUGGUUGAUAAUUUCACUAAUUAACUGCUUGCUGCCUGUCAUAUGUCGAAAUAGCAAAAAGUCUGCAUUUGCUUUUGAAUAAAGCAUGAUUCACCUUGGACCAAUUCAUCUUACAUACAGAAAAAAAAAACAGCAAACAAGGACCGUUUGGCAGGAUGAAAUUUAACUUACUUCCUACACCUGGUAUGACAAACUAUUCUGCUAAAGCAAAUUCAUUCAAACAGUACUGAAUUAUUGAAUUAACCACUGCUAGGUAUGAAAGAAGCAUAGAGUGACGUGAACUUCGUCUAAAGAUUAUCCUCGGCAGGCACUAUUCCUUUAUUCGUUGUCCCUUCAAUCAAUGAUUGAUUAAGUACAACAAUUACUCAUUUCAUACCAGCAGAUAGAGUAGGCCACAUUACGAACCUGAACUAAUGAAUCUCAAAAUGCAAGCACAAAACAAAUGAAGCUUAAAGUAAAUUGAAGAUGCAGAACUUAACCCCUAACUUAAUUGAAAAAUGGACUUCUUGUCCGCCCAAAAGUACUAACGAACCAUGAUGACAAUUACAUCUUUCAUUAAGCAUAUCAAACAACAAUUAAUUCAUCUCUUCAAAGUUACAAGAAAUUCUACAGAAAGCAGAGUUCCAAUACGAUUUAAUUAGCUCUAAAAGGCAAGCUUUGAAGUAAUAUCAAGUUCAAAAGUUAAGAUGGUAGAGAGAAAUCUGACAAUACCGUUCUCAAGUGCUUCCUGUGCUGACUGAAGCAAUGCAAUCGACUCAAUAUAUGGAUCAAGACCUGAAUGAGUCCCUCCAUUCUCGAACUUGCCGACACUCGCUUCAUCAAAGAUAUGAUUGUUGGCAUCGGAAUCACAGUUGCCCAAUCUCCCAACUACACUCCCGUUCUCCUUGUAGAAACCUCCGGUGGUAUACCUCACCUCCUCACUUGGAGCCUCGUCGUCACUCUGAUGGUCAUCAGGGAACAGAACCUUGUGAACACCGUUGCUGGUGAUCCCGGCGCUGGAUCGCCGCGCAUGAGCAGCAUUAGAGCUGCGAAGGUUGGACUCAACACUGGAGCGCGAAUUCUCUGCUUCCACAGGAGAGGCAGCAGCGCGCGCACUGGCGCCUCGCCCGCGCGCAGCGCGGAGGUUCUUGCCAUGAGCAGCGCCGCCGGGGGCUCGGGAUCGUGGCCUGUCGCGGUCCCGGCCGAAGCCGCCGGACGAGAAGUCAUGGCGCGGCGCGCUGGCGGCAGUAGAGAACUUGCUGGUCCGGUCGUCGCUGUUGUCCGAGUCGGCGCCGCCCGCGCCCAGCGAGAACCCGGCGGUGGCGAUCAGGUGGCCGAGAUUCGGGUCGAGCCUAGUCGGCGCCGGCGGCGGGGACGCCACCAGCGGCACGAAGCUGGACUCCACGGACGCGACCGAGCUCUCCACCUCCUCGACGGCCGCGUCCUCCUUCCCCUUGGGCGCGUCGGCGGUGGGGAAGAGACGGCGCUUGUGGAGCUGCGCCGCCAAGUCCUCAGCCGCGUUCGCGCCAGCACCUACGCCGGCCCCCACAGCCCCGGGGCUCGCCGGGGACCCCUCGUGGUGCUGCUGCUCGCGCGGGAUACGGCGCCACCGGCGGAGCCCGCGGCCCUUGGUGACUGGUUCGGACGGCCGCGUCUCCGGCUCCGGCUCCGGCUCCGGCGCCGGGGCCGGCGACUCGCCCACCGACUCGCCGACGCUGUUGGCGCCGGAAUCCAUGCCGCCCGCCGCCGGAAUUGGCGCCAGAGGCCGCGGCUUCAGAAGCCGGAUUGGAUCAGGUGCCGUAUCGGAGGGCUGGAGGCACGAGCCCUCGGGAUCGGUGGCAGCCUGUGGUGGGGGCUCUCGGGAUCGGAAUUCUCCGGCCCGGGGCUUGGAGCUGGGAGAUCCAGGGAGUGGAAGGCGAGAGGAAACAGAGAGUAUCGGUAAACAAACCGGAAAAGAUUGAUUUUUUUCGUUCCCCACUUCUUAUCGUCGCGGCGUUAGCUGUACGUGGCCAGAAUUUUUACGUGGGACCCGCGUCCUAGCUGGCGGGCCCUACAAAGUACACUAGCCCGCGUCAUGUCAGAGAGUGAGUCCGGGUCGCGCUGGCCGCCCGCCGGCGCGACGCCUGUUGCCCCAUUUGGGCCUCUCGAUGAAGUAGUUGACCCCAGCGCCGCUUAGCUCAUUUCGGGCCCAACUACAGACACUCAUUGACGGCCCAGGAGGAGCAAAGGGUAUUGUGCAAUUUGUGCUACGCGACCCCAUUCGGUCUCCCUAAAAAGACUGGAAGAAGAGGCAGGCCGGCAUGCGACACCGGACGGACACCAGCGUCGCCGGCAUGGCGCCCGCCGGCCAACCGGCUGAACAAAGAUUAUACGAAUAGAUUGAACACGAUGAGAGUGAGACACACAAGCGCAUUCGCGGUUUAUUUCGCUCGCGGUCAGUUCGUUAUUUUUACAAAAUCCAAACAAUGGACAUUAUUUUCCAGUGAAGAACUGCAGACCAGAGCGGUUUCGGGGCGGGCACAGGACGCCGGUGAUUCAGGCGACGCGGCGGCACAGCAUGAGCCCGUCGGCGAUGGCGAGCUGGCAGAUGUGGACGCGGCUGUCGGUGGCGAUGGCGGCGUUGAACUCCCUGGUGGCGGCGGCGAGCGGCUCGUCGGGGGUUGCGGCCACCGAGCCGCCCCACAGCGUGUUGUCGUAGGCGAUGAGGCCCCCGACCCUGACCAGCUGCAGCAGCCGCUCGUGGUAGUUGAGGAAGUUCACCUUGUCCGCGUCCACGAACGCGAAGUCGAACGCGCCCUUGUUCCCCUCCUGCAAAGCCCAAAAUCAGACGCAGCGGCAUCAUCUCAUCUCCGCGCUGCAAGAACACUUGCACAGAGAUCGCGUUCUGCGCGCAGGGAGACGAAGAGGGACCUCAUCUUAGUAUCUCACCUCGGCGACCAUCUGGUCCAGCACCGGCAGCGCGAGCCCGACGCGGAAAUCGAUCUUGUGCGCCACGCCGGCCUUCUCGAUCACCGGCGAUCCGACCCGGUCGUAGCUCUCGCGGGUGACGUCGAUGGCCACGAUCUGCUCACCGAGCACGGAGAUUGAUCAGCGACAGGCAAGGCCCAUGCUGUGGGCGCAGGCUUGCAAACCAACCUUGCCGUCGUCCGGGAGCGCGAGGGCGGUGGCGAGCAGCGAGUACCCGGUGAACACGCCGACCUCGAUGGCGUUCCUGGCGCCCAGCAUCUCGAGCAGGAGCCCGAACAGCUGCACCUCGUCCGGCGACGCCGCCAUGACAGCCCUGCAGCGCGUCUCAGCGCGCGGGGACAAACAUCAAACACCUACCGUGCAAGAAGCGCUCACACACCAACGCUGCAACGCAGGCACUGAAUGAGCGGGUCGCGAAUCCGAGGACGGCGUGACUCACAUGGGGUGGGAGGCGGUGGCGACGCGGAGCUCCCGCAGGAAGUCGGGCUCCCGAGGGAACACGGUGGAUUCCAGAAUGUACUAGAAGGAGGAGGUGAGAUCGGAGGCGUUAGUCUCGCCGUGGAGUGAAGGAUCGAUGCUGGCGAUUCGGAUGGAUCAACUACCUGGUACAGCGGCUCGCUCUUGAGGAGGGUCUUGCUGUGGAGGCUGGCCGACCCGGCGGCCGCCUUGCCGCCUUCUCCGGCGCCGGUGGCGGGCAUCCUAUGACGACUGCUUUUGCUCGCCGGCGAUGUUGUCGCUAGCGGCAGCCCGUUGGCUCUUUUUGCAACAAGGGGAUUCCCUUGAGUAGGUGGCCUAAAGAGGGUGUUUGUAUACGAGAUGCUAAAAUUUAGCAGUAUCAUAUUGGAUGUUCGGAUAUUAAUUAGAAGGACUAAACAUGAGCUAAUUAUAACUAAUUGCACAGAUGGAGUCUAAUUCGCAAGAUGAAUCUAUUAAGGCUAAUUAAUACAUCAUUAGCAAAUGGUUACUGUAGCACCACAUUGUCAAAUCAUAGACUAAUAGGUUCAAUAAAUUCAUCUCGUGAAUUAGACUCCAUCUGUGCAAUUAAUUUUGUAAUUAGACUAUAUUUAAUACUCCUAAUAAGUAUUCAAAAAUCCGACGUAACAGGUGCUAAAGUUUAGCGAAGGGUACCAAACACCCCUAAGUAUUGGUAUGUGACGCCACAUGUAGAAAACUGAAAGUGACGCGGUAGCGGCAGCGGCAGGAAUCCACUAAUAUACGAGGCAACGCCCGGGGGGGGGGGGGGCCGGGGGGGGGGGAGGAAAUGACACUAAAAGUAAAACAUGUAAAAAAUAAGGAAACUACAUGGAACAUAUGUCAGGUUUUAAAAGUGAGUAAUGUACACAGAGCUACAAGAAGAAUAAUACAACACCAGGAAUUACUGCAUAUAUAUGUGCAUAGAUAUUGUGUGUGUAUUUGUAACAUGACAAUUCAAUUUUAAUAUUUGGCACAUACCUCUGUGCCAUCCUGGGCAAGGAAAUAAUCGGUUAAUCGCCUAGAAUUAUCAGCUGCACUAUUCUUUUCCUUUGAAGAGCGGUGAGAGGACCGAAACUUCUUCUACGCGAUCUACACCCCGUGCGAUCAUCAGCAGCAUUCNNNNNNNNNNNNNNNNNNNNNNNNNNNNNNNNNNNNNNNNNNNNNNNNNNNNNNNNNNNNNNNNNNNNNNNNNNNNNNNNNNNNNNNNNNNNNNNNNNNNCCCGGGGGGGGGGGGGAUAAUAAAUUGUAAGUUUACCACUAGUUUGAUCCUCGAACUCAUAUUUGUCGUUGUAAAAAGUCUGAUCGCAAAAUUGCCGUUCAAACCCCUGGCCCUCCACUUAGGUCCGUUUCUCACUGCUUACGUGAUACGUCGCCCGAGGCCACGGCAGACCGGGGGCGGCGCCGUCGGCGACCGGGACUCUCACACGGCCUCGCGCCCUCGCCGCCCGGGUGUCGGCGGCGACCAUAGCGCGCGUCGAGAGCUGCCUAGCGGCGGCGAGCCGGCGGCACGGCGACACCGUCGAGGAAAGAAAAGCUACGCUGUACUUGUUGGGCUGGGUAGGCCCAUAGUGGAUGUGAUGGGCUUUUAGCUAGUGUGGGCCGAAAGGGGUACACUGUCGGAAAUCCUAUCCAUCUCCCUGAAGAUUUUUUUAAGUCAACCUUUAAUGUUUGAAAUUCAUGCGACGAAGGAGAUCCGUUAGAUCUGCAUUAAACCCUAGCCUCCACUCUCUCCCUCUCCCUUGCCUGCGCAGCCGCCCCCUGCAUGGAGCCCGCCGCUGCUGCAGCUGGCCCCGCCUCCGCGGCCAGUCCAGCACGCGCGUGCGUUUGAUGCCCCACCCCCGCGCGGGCUCAUGUACGGCCGGCCACGCACCAUCGGAGAAGAAGGUUGAAAAAUGUUGGAUUCAACUUUUUCUAAAGAAGUGUUUUGUCUAAUUUUUUUCAAAUAAUUAUUGGUUCAACUUUUUUUCGAGAAAUGUUGGUUCAACUUUUCUUUAAAAAAAUGUUGACAACAUUUUUUCAGUUAAAUAUGUUUUGUUAGGCUUUCAGUCAUGCGCAUGAUCGUUUUGCUAGGCGCUGGGCUGGGCUAUAAUGGACUUCCGUAGUUCCGUGAGCUUUCCACUGGGUGUAUAGGAGCCCCGUAAACUGUUUUCAACUUUCCAUACUUAUCCUCUGGAUCCCAUAAAAAAAAAGAACGGCACAUCCCCUCUGAAAAUGAAGGACUCGUGUUCUGUCACAGCCUGCUCAUGAGAAGCUUCUUCCUGCAUUACUGGCUUACUGCUGUACUAGCGCUGAAAAGCAAUCUAGCAGCCAUGCCCAUCUUGUGAGGGUAGAUGAGGACAUUGUCACAGUCACCUCAUUUUGCAUGGCAUCUGCAGGAGCAAUCUGUUCGCGAAUACAAUCUGAAGGCCGGCCAAUGGCCAAUGCUCACAGGCCAGUGCUCAUUGGAAAUUCUUUCGGGCAACCAACAGAUCGAACAGACGAAUCCAUGGUUCACACUUAGUGCAUUCCAUGAUCCAUCCAUGGCAUAUAUGCCGUGCCAUCUCCGUGGCUGCGGCCUGCGGCUACCCUGCUGCUAACAGGAUAGGACCCUUGAUUGGUAACUCAGGCUGGACAUGGACGUGAGCUUCGCGUGCGCAGGGGAGGAGCCCUUCGAGAUGGAGGUGGGCUUCUUCGACACCGUGCAGGACAUCAAGGAGAAGCUGCAGAGCCGCCGAGGCUGGCCCGCCGCCACCAUGUCGCUCCUCCACAACGGCGACGUGCUCGUGGACGACGGCGGCGGCGGCGGCGGCGGCAUCGAGCGGCACGGCAUCGUGGAGGGCUCCGUCAUCCACGUCGCCCUCGUCCCCGACGGGCCGCGGCAGCAGCGGCAGGUGAAGCGCAACAGACCCGCGAGCAAGAGGAGGGGCGUGGGCGAGGAGGGCGCGCCGCCGCCGCUGCGGGUCACCGUGGUGUCGCGGUGCGGCGCGGGUCGCGUGGAGGUGGCCGUGGCCGCGCGCGCCGCGGUGUCGGCGCUGCGGGCGGAGCUGGAGCGCGCGCGCGGGGCCGGGUUCCCGUUGCCGGGGGGCGGCGCCUACUUCUUUAUCCACCGGCAGAGCGUGAUGGACGAGGCGCGGUCAUUCCAGUGGCACGGCGUGGCCGCCGGCGACGAGGUCGUCGUGUUCGACGGCUCCGUGACGAGGGCCCCCGCGUACUGAGCCAGAAACACGGCAUGACACACACCGCCAUUUUUACCUGCUGUUAACUCGAGUUUACAGUUGACACGAUUCAGAAUGGACGGCAAUAACUUUAGCUGCUGCAAUUCGAGCUUAACUACAACUAACUGGAGAUCGAUUCCUAGAUUGCUUUCAGUUCUUGUGUGUACACAUGCAUGGCUGUUGGAACUUUUUUUGAUAAAGAUGGCUGUUGGAACUUGGAAGUCCUAUUCGUUGUACGCUGCGCGCUCAAAAUGGGCGGCGCUUGCACACGUGCGCGCCGUCGCCGUUAUCCGAAUUGAGCAGCCAUGCGAGUCCGGGUUUUCUUCUGACUUGUGCCUCCAUGGAGACAACACAGUCUUCAGUAGUCCAAGACUAAAUCUAGGAACAAGGUCAAUCCUGACAUCNNNNNNNNNNNNNNNNNNNNNNNNNNNNNNNNNNNNNNNNNNNNNNNNNNNNNNNNNNNNNNNNNNNNNNNNNNNNNNNNNNNNNNNNNNNNNNNNNNNNUCCAAACAAAAAUGCCUUCAAAACGCAGCGGCAGCUGAGUCGUUUGUGUGCACAUUUUUUCUUUGCUGUUUCAGGUGCUUGGACUAAGUCUGACAGCACAACUCCAUGAUCUAAAAAAAAGUCUAACAGAACAAUUUGAGCAGAUCGUAUUCACAACCAUAAGUUUCGAUUAAUUGAUUUCCAAGUUCCAUCGACGACAGCAGGAAGAUAGGGUACCAUCCUCAUCAUUUUUUGCUUCAAAGAAAUGCGCGGGGGGGGGGGGGGGGGGGGGGGGGGGGGGGCCCCCAAGGGGGGAAAAAAAAAAAUUUACUACCCUUCCCCCCCAUUACAUGUUACUUAUCAAGUAGGUAAAUAUUUGCCAAUCAUCUUGACUUCAGUUUAACUCUAGAUGAUCCUAAGGGGGGGGCGCCUCCCUCCUUUGCGUAAUCUGGGGAUGGUUCCUAGGCGUCCGGAAUUACCUUCUACAAGGGUGAAGUGCCGCUCUCUGAACCGAAUUCUUCCAUGGCCAUUGGGUGCAUAGUGUGCCCAAGAUGGGGGGAAAGAUCCUCCAUGGGGCGAGCAACAAACAACAGAAAGUCCAGAUUUCUUCUCCCCUUUUAUUUGUCNNNNNNNNNNNNNNNNNNNNNNNNNNNNNNNNNNNNNNNNNNNNNNNNNNNNNNNNNNNNNNNNNNNNNNNNNNNNNNNNNNNNNNNNNNNNNNNNNNNNGAUUGUGCUCCAUUUUUGUUAGCCGUGUUGUAUAUAUAUUUUUAAUCACAAUAAGGGAGUGUUGUGUUGUAUUUUUGUACUGUAAUUUUGGUAUUGUGCCUCGUGCAUCUUGUGCUACCACCCAUCGUAAUAUACUACUUGACACGGUAUAUAACAUAAAAGAGAGCAGUUUAACAUGGUCCCGUUCUAACUCUUUCGCAACGUGAACUUGUGAAUCUUGUGAGAGAUUAUUUGCUCAUGCCGAUGAUCAGUUGCCUGAAGAACACCGCUCUAUGGUUUGGCGCGGAGGGGGGGACGACUAGAACAAAGCAAUGUUGCAGCGUCACUAUCAUGUAUACAAGCUGAAGCAAAUCUAUCCCCUUCUCUCUUUCCUAUUAUUUACAUCUGAUGACCAAAUGGAGGCCUGCUCAUCAUCUGUUGGUAAACUGGUGGGGCUGGCUCUGCCUUCGGUUCUACUGGCAUCAUGAGGCCUGGGUACCCCUGCAUAGCUGAUGAAUUUCCAACCAUCUUUGUUGGAGCAAGAGAUCCUAGAGAGGGCAUCGGAAUCGCCAUGCCUGGCGGGACCAUCCCGAAGCGGAAAUUGCCUGUUGCUGGCCCCAACUGGCUGCUCGGUGGGAGAACGAAGGAGCCGAAAGGAGCGGAAGCACCGAAAUGAGCAAAGCUGGCUUGUGCUGGUUCUUGCCUACGGUGAGAGCUACUACCUUGUGAAGCGGAUGGAGCGUUGGCAGAACUGGAACCGGCUUGCCCACUGUUUCUGGCAGCCGGAACUUCAUGGUUGUGCUUUCCCUCAUAAGUUGUGAUGACUGACUUCAGAUCAUGCGAUGCUCUCUCUACAUGCUUGCGCACUGAACAGCCAGGGUGUGUACAUUUGUAGUAGCUCCUGCAGACAAAUGAAAUGAAAUGAUGCUACUAAUUUCAGGGGAUGGAGGAUACCACAUAAAGUAAGAAAUGGUAGUGAAAGUGUGACCUUGGAUUUGGAUUGCCUUUAACGACCUUCUGACCAUACUUGCGCCACCGAUACCCAUCGUCAAGGAUGUCGACCUCACUUGUGGUCUGAACAACCACCCUAGGCUCCCGGACAGCUCUCGAGGCUGCAGUUCCCAUGUCAAUGGUACUGGUGGGGGUCGCAACAGCAGUAGUAAUAGUAGAAGUUCCUAAUGCAUCCAGCUUCCUGAAAAACAGUAUCAGUGAGCUCAAUAUAACUGCAUGCAGUCCGUGUUAAGUAGUUAAGUGGUGGACAAUAUUAACCUUCUUUUAGAUUCAGUCUCAUCCUCAUCACCCUCACAUUCUAUAGAAGCAGUGCCAUGUGUUGCCCUCUCAUCCUCCUCAUUAGAUAGCGUUGAUGAGACAUCAACUGCAUCUUGAGACUCCAUAAGAGACGCGUCACAGUGAGUUGAUACAGGAACACAAGCAGCUGCUCUAAUGUCAACACCUUCGCUUUGCGCAUUUUGGUUUGUCUCAUCAUCUUGCUGUUGGCCAGCUGAAUAGUGACUGUUGCCGAACAUGGAGUCUGAUGCCUUAGCUUUAACAAUUGUUGCAUUAGUGUUAUCCUUGACUGCAGUAAAGCUUGACUGAAGACUGGAUUCCUGCCGAUGAAUAUUCGACAAGGACUGGUUUUGAAAAUGAGCACCGUAGUCCUGUACAGAGAAACUUUUUUCAGGCACAUGAAUUCAUAAAAAUAUGCUUUUAUUUGAAGAAACAAAAAAGAGAAUUUAGUGGUGAGAUUGGCAAUAAAAGGAAGCCAAAUAGUAUUAUAAUAUUGCAAGGGAAAAGAUGGAAAAUACUGAUAGAUACUAGCAGUCAAGAAAAGCACCUUUUCUGCAGUACAGAAGCUUUGCUGCUUAGAACCCAAGUGGGGUUGGAAGGAAAAAACAUCAUUAUCAAAUGUAGAAUCUUCAGUUAUGAUAGCAGCUGGUGGUACUGUUGACUUAUCAUUCGUAGCCAUCAAAAAUGGCAAUGUGCCAGUAGUUGGAGAAGGCUGUGCCUGCAAUUGACCAUUACCAAUUCAGCUAAAUUCACAUGCAUGGCAAACAAAACAGGGCAAGCACAGGUAUGAGGUUCCGAGUGUUGAUCUAAUAUUAGCAGCUAUAAAAUCAAAACAGAAGCCAAGCUUCUAAGACACUAAUCAGAGAUCUAUUUCUAGUAUACCAAUGCUUUUGCACACUAGGCAGCAAAUCAGUGUUGUAGUCACAUGCAGAAGUAUACUGCACAAAACCAUGUUCGACACAGUAAACACCAAUCAAUGUUCUUAUAUGCUGUACAAAACCCAUGUCUGAAAACUGCAAAAUGCAAGUCUUUAAUGCUAUCUCCAAUUAUGACUUAUUGCAAUCUAAUAGAUAAAUCUUGAGAGCACAAGCAAACCAAUAAAGGAAACAUUGCAUACCAUCUUAUUGUAAAGAAAAACAGGAGACUCAAGAAGUGUAGUUGGACUAAGACCAGGUGGAAUUGACACGGGUGAUCGAAUAACUGCAGAUGAACCAACUCGAGAAGUAUCAAUUUUCGGAACACUGAAACCUGCUCUCGCAGCCCUGCGCUCCGCCAAACCACCAUGGGAGUUUGAUUUCUGAUUAGCACCGAACAAACUUGGCUCCAGGGAGAAACCCUUUUGAAAUCUGUCUUUGACAGCUUGAGCAGGCACCUCCUCACUCAAACUCACAAGUUCUCUGCUCUUUUCACAUUGAUCAUGAGGCUUGUUGGUGCCAUGUUCACUGAAAAGAUUAGAGAAUGGCCCAGAGCCGAACUCUUCAUUCAGGAAGCUUGACAUUAGUGUUCUUGGGCUUGGUGUGGGGGGAGGCAACCAGUCCUCCAUGAGCGAUCCGUGGUUGCCUGUGCCGGCCAUGCGUGCAGGUAAUUUAUCUCAACUGAAAUAAUUGUCAUGUAAUACCACAUUAGUCCUGUUGCAAUAUCAGGUUGCUUGAUAGUGAAACUGAGCUAAAGUUCUUUUUUCCCCCUUCUCUUGCCCUCUUUACAAAUUUUACAUACUGAGCGAAACAAAUGUUGAAAACCAAUCAGGAUCCUACAGCAGAAAAAUUAGCCAAAGGCAGAACACAAAAAACAAAUAAAUCAUAUUCAUAUAUGAACAUUGAUCAGUAGUACACAGACCAACUAUAAACUCCAUUGGCAAACAGCUUAUCAGUCUGUAGAGAUGACAAAAGUCAAAUACAGGAGUCGAAGAGUUGAAAAAUCAACUGCAACAAACGGCAACCUUUACAAAUUUCCAGUAAAUUCAUUUACGAUAACCCAAAACAUAAAUUUCCAUACAGAAUGCAGAAUCCAAUCUAGUGCUCAAGCAAGAGAAUUGCAAACCAAACUGCAAACUUUCCCCAACAGAGCACUCAGUCCCUGCAACUGAAUCAACACAGAUGCAAUUUCGAUGCGACGUGGAGAGAAGACAUCUGAAAUGAGAAACAAAUAAACUCCAAAGACGCAAGCUUUGCGAUCCCGAAACGAUCUCAUCAAACCUCAACAACUCUGAAACACGCAAAAUUCGAUGCCAACCUAGCCGCCCUUAUCAUCAACAUAGAUGCACAAAAAAGGCACAAUCAACAAAAUAAAGCAGGAUAGAAAUUCCAACUGGCACCUGAACUGGGAAGGACGACUUCUCCGAGACCAAAUGAUUUGCUUCCUCUUCUCUCCACCGAAAAAAGCGAAGCAGCAGCAGGGUGGGCGGAUUGGAAUAGAGGGCGACAACGCCGUCAGGAACAGGAACGGAUCAUGUGAACCGAAAUUCCUCCUGCAAAGAACAUGGAGAGCGAAAAUUUGGGACCAAACUCUGUGGGUUCCCUUUUUUAUCGAUGUUCCUCGCACUUUCACCAACCUUCCAAAAGGCUACGCACGAGGGGAACGACGAAGAUCUCGGGGGCACAAAUGGAGAUGCCGAGCUUCCAUUCCACCAACCAAGAACCCUAAAAGAACAGGGGAAAGAAUUCUCAACAAAGCAAGAUUUUGCUGCCUCUUUCCGCCUCUCUUUCUGCAGCCUCUCGGUUCUCCGGGCGCUACUUUUUUUUAGAGGGAGGGAGAGGGAGAGCCGGGGGGGGGGGGGGGGGUGCGAAGAGUAGGAGAGAGAAAGGCGGUUUGACCGAGGAGGCCGGAAGAGGUGGGAAGGGAGACUCGGAGGAUUCUUUGUGCUUGUGCCAGUGAUGUGCUCUAAAUGGCAAAAUGCUGUCCUCUACUGGCUACAGCCUUCUACUCAUCUUCUGUAGCCUGUAGGGCUUCAGUUUCAAAACUCAAUUUUUCCCCACACCUUCCGAUGGACAAUGGAGUUGGAAACAGUUCACAUAUUUUUUGCGGCAUGUAUAAUUUCCAGUAGUGUUUUUUGUUUGUUUGUUUUUUUUCCCUUCAGUAGACAUCAUUGAAAACCAGUCAUUCUCUUCAGUAGACAUCAUUGAAAAACAGUCAUAGGACUCGAAACUAUGGACUUGUUGUGGCAAUACCACCGUCGCCUCACUUUCGUCCAAGCUGUGAACUCGUAUUGCCUUUGACCACCAUUGUUGCCUCAUUUUUGUCCUCGUUACGAGCGCGUACUUGCCUCGACCGUCGUCAUUGCCCACGAUUCCGAGCACCUCAAUAGAUUCUCCGGCGCCGUCGUCACUCGCCAGACGUGGGAGACCAAAUCAAGAUAACAAAAUGUUUAGGGUGUUUCUCGUAAAAAGAUAUUUAGGGUGUUGCGUUUUUUUUUUGAAAAAAAAAGAAUGGAGCAACGUGUCUCAAGAAUCAUUGUAACUAACAAUGGAAUGAUUUUUUUUAGCAAAAAAAGGUAUGCGGGUUCUCAUGAAAAAGAAGUAAUAAUCAAGUGAGCUGAUAUAGCAAAUAAUUUAAAAUCUAUAACUAACAUUACUUUGGAAGCAUCACCCUUGAUGGCUCUGUAAAUAAAAUAAAUGAAAGCUGCGCUCGACAUCAUCACUAAUCCUGUCAAAAAAUGCGUGCGCAAUGCUAAUUCUUACGAAGUUGUAAAAUUUGACCGCACAAAAAACAGUCAUCUUCCAAGGAACCGUGUUUUGUUGGCAUCGAUGAAAACAUUUGGCGCCCAAAAUAAGCUCAGUUAUCAGCAGCCUCUGCAGGAUAACCCCUUGUGAAGUUGUUGUGCUGCUUGCGAAUGUGGAGGUACCUUUCAGAUAUGUUUUUGUCCAAAUGCAAAAGGAACUCUCUUGAUUCCGCGACAAGUUUCAGCAAAUUAGGUGGGGAAAGUCCCUCUUUGGGUCCAUGCCUUCCUCUUGGCAUGGAAAAUAUGCCUCUUGGCAUGAGUACACGGUUGGUGUGAAAUUGGCAACUUUAUUUGUAGCAGGGAGUUGGUGUCAUGUUUUGGAAAGACAAACACGAUAAAUGUGAUGAUGUAUCCGAAUUGGAAAAGAUUAAAUUGUUAUUUAGUGAGCCUAACUCAGUCAGGCAGGAGAUAAGCGGAUACUUUCCUAUAGCGCUUUUUAAAAUUUGAACUUAAUUUUAAAAAUGCAAUCUUACUUCAAGGAGACAAAGUUUGACCUUUGCACUCUUACCUUUGCUGGCCAUAACUCAUAAACGCUGAAAGUAGAAUAGAACGAAUAGAAACUUGUGUCAAGUGACCCAAAAGUUUGUAGUAUUUUCCCAACAAGAUCCUGUGAAAUCUCUAUGACAUUCGGUGAACAUAUAAACUAAAUUAUGUAGGAAUCUCCUUGAGACCAUCUAUAAUUCGUUUCCAAGCAUUCUAUUGGAGCUGAACUAUAAUCCUGCCCAAAGCUCAUCUGCCAAACUUCGGAUGAGAGAAACAGAAUCAGAUGUUCAGAUAUCAUGUACACCUAGGCAAGUAACAGGCAGCUCCAGCACGAGACCUGAAUCAGAAGCUUGUAGCGUGGAACUAUUCAUGUCCAAGCAAAGUGCGCUGCCGCCUGCAGAGUGCAGACUCGACUGACUCGCGCUUUUUGUCUCUGACCGUGCUGCAAAUUAAAGUGCAAAGCCUGCAGCUCAUGUGAUCUGACUGCGCACAACUGGACUGAACUGAACCGAACCUGGGCUCCAACCUGUCACUCAGAGUUCAGAACAGCAAAAAGGGAAUAAAUCGUACUGACAAGAUGAAAGUGCUGAUUGGAUUUCGGAUGAUGAUUUAAAAACCCUUGGGCUUGCUCAAUUUCGCAGGAAUAUCAUAGAAAAUAGUCCAAUUUCAAACUAGCUACCGUCUCAAUUUUGACCAACUUUCUUAUUUGACAGUAGCUAUAAUAACCAAAUGGGUGACAAUAGCACGAAACUUCAUCAUACUUCUGCUUCUGUUUGACUAUGUUUAUCCAUAGCGUACAGCGCACACUAAACAACAAAAUACAAGUUCCAAAAAGAAGAUCAAUAUGAAAUGACCAUCCAUACCCAAUUAAAUUACAAUGACAAAACAAUUACUCUUUUCGAAAAGUAUUUAUUACUACCAGCGCAUAUGGCAAAUAUUUGCAAUGACUGCAUCAUUAGCAAUGCGAGGGACGUUCGUUCAAAAAAAAAAAAGCAAUGCGAGGGACUAGCUACUGCGAAAUCCUAUAGAGAACAGGGUGGUGGUUGGGAGUUGGGAUGUGGAUUACUGUGGUUCAUCAUGCUUCUGCUUGUAGUGGGCGUGCAGUAUUUUGGCGCCAGCCAUGGAGGCGCUGGAGGACAGAUGGACAUGGACUCGGACUCUUUCUUUGUUCCACCUAUCGAUCGACGCGCACCCGCACCUACUGCGCA